CAAAAUAUGAGUCUGUGAACAACAACAGCAACGACGAGCAACGUGUAGAACGGGCACGCGCUAGUCAUCGACUAACGUGAACGCGCGUUGGGAAUUGCGUCCGCGCGCUCGUUUCAUUCAUGUCUGGGGCAUUGUACCAACAGCAACCACCAACAAAUAACAAACGUUUUAGAGCUACAAGAGCUGUGUGAAAUGUCAGUGUCAGGACACAACAGCAAGUUAACGUAACUUAAAUGAACAACGGGACUCGUUAGCUUGUCGUCCACAUUAAACAUCAGCUAACUGCUAGCGUUAGCUAAACUACCCGCUAAACAGCUAGCUAGUUUGUCUUGUUUACUUGCUUAACCAAAGAAAAAUACAAAACCAGUUAAAAAAGUGGUAUUUUGAGACAUUUCAACUCCACGGAGGAAUCAGUUACAUCUCAGACUAACAGCAAAUCGAAGUUCUGGGAAUUGAUCUUCAUCAUUCAUUUUUAUCAAAUGUAGAAGCAAAGGAUUAUGGAUCUCUGGAAAGCGUUCACCCUUGGGUCAGAAGACAAGACAAGGCGAGGAAUCUCCCCUUCCUGUACGGAAGUUUAUCCUGGUCGGCCUGCCCGUCACCGACGCCUCCCAGAGGAAAGUGACAGCAGCUUUAUUCACCCGCUGACCCGUGAAAAGGACAGAAGAAGAAAAAAAACAGGC